rnacentral:rRNA from 1 species
CAGCCGCCGCGGUAAUACGUAGGUGGCAAGCGUUGUCCGGAAUUAUUGGGCGUAAAGGGCUCGCAGGCGGUUUCUUAAGUCUGAUGUGAAAGCCCCCGGCUCAACCGGGGAGGGUCAUUGGAAACUGGGAAACUUGAGUGCAGAAGAGGAGAGUGGAAUUCCACGUGUAGCGGUGAAAUGCGUAGGGAUGUGGAGGAACACCAGUGGCGAAGGCGACUCUCUGGUCUGUAACUGACGCUGAGGAGCGAAAGCGUGGGGAGCGAACAGGAUUAGAUACCCGGGUAGUCCCUGUCUCUUAUAC